rnacentral:rRNA from 1 species
AUUGAACGCUGGCGGCAGGCUUAACACAUGCAAGUCGAGCGAGCGGCGGACGGGUGAGUAAUGUAUGGGAACCUGCCUGAUGGAGGGGGAUCACUACUGGAAAGGGUAGCUAAUACCGCAUACCAUCAGAUGUGCCUCGAUGAGAUUAGCUGGUCGGGGGGGUAAUGGCUCACCAAGGCGACGAUCACUAGCUGGUCUGAGAGGAUGAACAGCCACACUGGAACUGAGACACGGUCCAGACUCCUACGGUAGGCAGCAGUGGGGAAUAUUGGACAAUGGGCGCAAGCCUGAGACAGCCAUGCCGCGUGUGUGAAGAAGGCCUUCGGGUUGUAAAGCACUUUCAGCGAGGAGGCGUUACUCGCAGAAGAAGCACCGGCUAACUCCGUGCCAGCAGCCGCGGUAAUUC